CCACAUAGUGGAAGAGGUGAUGGAUAAGAGGUUAGAGGAGUAAUAUUCACCAUCUGGCUUUAUAAAUAGGAUCUGCAACAAGAAGAUCAGACUGAGGGACAAGCAUUCCUGAGGAAUACCUGAUUUUCCUAAAUUCCUUUAUCUCCAUAUUGGCACAUCACCAUCCAAGUCUAGAAGAGCCUACUCCUAGGGUCCUUGGUGCUGGGAUUAUAGUAGUGAAAAGGUAUACAAUAUCCAUGGCUUAAUGAAAUUUGUAUUCCAAUGAGGAGCCGCAUAAUAAAAACCAUAUAAACAAAUACAUAUGCAAUAAUUACAAGAGCAGAUGUGGAGCAAGGAGAUGGGGUCUCGCUAUGUUGAUCAGGCUGCUCUUGAACUCCUGGCCUCAAACAGUCAUCCUGCCUUAGCCUCCCGAAGUGCUGGGAUUACAGAUGUGAGCCACCUUGCCCGACAAUAAUAAACUCUUCUAUUCCUUAAGUCCACUAUGAUGAAAGCUGUGUUUGUACAAUAAAAUUAUUUUUAAAAUUUCUUCUUCUAUUGAAUAAAUUAAAUCUUAUAAGUAUGGCAACUAUUAUAAUACCGUAUCAGCACAUGUAAAGAAAUUUUAUGACAACAUUGAUAUAAUGAAGAAAGCCAAUGAAAUCACUAUGAGAAAAAUGAGCUUCAAAAUUUUUCAAUUUUUGAACAGUAAAAAUUGAGAAAUGUUCGUAUUUCCUUAACUUAAAAUUAUGUCUCUAUAAAAACUUUGUCCCACAAAUACAAAUUUUAUAAGAAUAUUUCAUUUAUAGUUUAAAUUUUAAUUGACCAAAAAGUUCUCAUCUUGUAUACUUAGUAUAGCAAAGAUAAUACCUUAACUAGUCCCAAAUAAAUCAGUUGUGCUUGUUUAAUAAAUUUGUUUUCCUAAUAAAAAUACAAUUCAUUCUCGUUAUAGAAAAUUUGGGAAAUUCAGACAGGUAGAAGGAGAAAGAAUAUCUAUAAUUGUAUUAUCCAGAAACAACUUCAUUAGUAUUUUGCUGUAUUUGCUCCUUGUUUUUUCACAAAGUCGAGAUCAUACAUGUAUCAUUUGAGCUACGAUAAUUUUAAUUCAGUAUCAUAACAGAAACUUUUCCCCAAAUUGAUCACAUGUGAAUUUUUAAUAGAAUUUCUUAUAAUUGCUAUCCUAUCUCUUUAUCAUUGUUCCUUUGAUGAAAAAUACUAACUUGAACUACAGAUGCUAAACUCAGGAGAAACAUAGGUGACGGAGGGUCUCUGAUGUACAAUACGUGUAAAUGAAAACUAAGAACUAAUUUGAACAUAAUAAAAAUUAUGUGCCUUGAAAUUAAAGAGAAAAAUAACUUACUCUCACAAUAAAACCCCAAGUUUUGUGACUUAUGAGGUAAUUUUGAGCAGUGUCUGAAGCAAUAUCAAAUGACUUUUGAAUGUCUUAUCUUUUAAUGUCAAAGACAUGUUGGUUUUACCACAUAGAGUAAAACAUUUAAUACUAUGUAACAUCAAUAAGCAAGAUUAACAUUUGUAAUCUCCUAAAAUGAUUUCAUGAUGCAAUGCUCAAUAAAUUGGUAGAAAAGUUAGGAUCAAAUCAAUGAAUUUAUAUAUGUUUAAUUUUAUUGUUGUCAAUGUAUUAAACUUCUAAAUGUUAAAUCUCACUUUAGGGAACUGAAAGACACAUUCUGUAACACACACAAAAAAUCAACAUUAAGGAAUGUAAGAUUUUCAA
rnacentral:lncRNA from 1 species